rnacentral:sRNA from 1 species
GAGAGGGAGACGCUCCAAGAGGCUCCUCAGUGUGGGCGAGUAAAAUGCCCUGCGUGUGAGAAGCAGGCUCAGAUUAUUGCUACUCUGUAUUCAGAUCUGCAUGUGUUUCUUCUAAGCUGAAUAAAGCUGUUUUGGAACUGUCAGGUACCUCAAAGGCAGAAAGGUCAGCCCCCUCUGCAAGUUCUUAGAUUCCUGGAGGAUCUGCAGAGUCAACGUUAGGAGUAUCCAUCCAUUCACCAAGACCAUCAGGAAUGUGCUGCCCCAGGAACAAUCAGAAACCAAGAGAUGGGAAUGAAGAGGGUGAGUAAUCUGGAGUCCUGAGAAUGUGCUGUAAAGAAGAGUUGUCAAUUGUGCACAGAAGAUAAGAAAUAUAUGAUGAAUAGAUAAUUGAAAAGAGAUCUUCCAGAAAGAGCAGAAGG